GGCACGCUUUCUCAAUAUCAAAGACUAUUGUGUAAUAUAAUAGUGUGACUAUAGGGUGAAUUUGAGUGUGAGUGUGUUUAGAAUUUGAGUGAGCUUACUAUGUGUCUGUGAAUGCUGUGUCCAAUUUGUUUCCACAAUUGUGACCCAUUGUAAGUUUGGAACUCCAGACAUUUCCAACUCAAGCUCCAUGAAAAACAAUUUAAAUAUCAACAUAUUUUCACCCACUACUGCUGUAGAAAAAUCCGUGUUCAAGAAAAUUUCUAUUGGAUGGCCUAUCGACUCAAUAAUCCCUUACAAGCUACUUCCUCUAAGGGAAGACUAAAUUCUAGGCAAACCUCUGCUAAUCAUGGGUGAUCGAGCAUCAAAUCGAAGCUAGUGGCAUCGACCCAAACUUUUAUUUUGUCAAGCCAACCAUUGUGCCUCACCGCGAGGUUUCGAAGUAACACGCACCUUGGCUUGGGUGUUUGAAUUCAAGCUUUUGAAUUAUGAUUAUUAAACUAUAAGUGUGUUUUGGUUUUCAUACUGCUACUUUGAUGACGGGAUUAAGUUCCCUAAAUUUGUACUGUAUUUUUGUAUACGCUUGGACUGAGGGCUUAUGACUAAUACAUCUAGGCUAUAUGUAUAAAAGUUUAUUUUCAU